AUUGAACGCUGGCGGCAUGCUUUACACAUGCAAGUCGAACGGUAACAGGGAGCUUGCUCCGCUGACGAGUGGCGAACGGGUGGGUAAUGCAUCGGAACGUGCCGUGUAGUGGGAGAUAACGUAGCGAAAGUUACGCUAAUACCGCAUACGAUCUAAGGAUGAAAGCGGGGGACUCGCAAGAGCCUCGCGCGAUUGGAGCGGCCGAUAUCAGAUUAGGUAGUUGGUGAGGUAAAGGCUCACCAAGCCGACGAUCUGUAGCUGGUCUGAGAGGACGACCAGCCACACUGGGACUGAGACACGGCCCAGACUCCUACGGGAGGCAGCAGUGGGGAAUUUUGGACAAUGGGCGCAAGCCUGAUCCAGCAAUGCCGCGUGCAGGAUGAAGGCCUUCGGGUUGUAAACUGCUUUUGUACGGAACGAAACGGUGCUCACUAAUACUGGGUGCUAAUGACGGUACCGUAAGAAUAAGCACCGGCUAACUACGUG
rnacentral:rRNA from 1 species